rnacentral:rRNA from 1 species
UCCCCGCAGUCCAAGUCGCAACCACAUUUGUUGGGUCUAAAACAUCCGUAGCGCGCUUCGUAAGUCACUCGUGAAAUCUCAUCUCUCAAGGAUGAAAGUGCGAGUGAUACUGCGGAGCUUGAGACCGGAAGGCGCAUCAAGUACGUCGGGAGUACCGGUAAAAUGGGUUGAUCCUCGACGGACUAACAACCGCGAAGGCAUGAUGCGAGCACGGAUCUGACCGUGAGGGAUGAAGGCUAGGGGCGCAAAGUGG